GGAUGAACGCUGGCGGCGUGCCUAAUACAUGCAAGUCGAGCGAACAGAUGAGGCGCUUGCUCCUCUGACGUUAGCGGCGGACGGGUGAGUAACACGUGGAUAACCUACCUAUAAGACUGGGAUAACUUCGGGAAACCGGAGCUAAUACCGGAUAAUAUAUUGAACCGCAUGGUUCAAUAGUGAAAGACGGUUUUGCUGUCACUUAUAGAUGGAUCCGCGCCGCAUUAGCUAGUUGGUAAGGUAACGGCUUACCAAGGCAACGAUGCGUAGCCGACCUGAGAGGGUGAUCGGCCACACUGGAACUGAGACACGGUCCAGACUCCUACGGGAGGCAGCAGUAGGGAAUCUUCCGCAAUGGGCGAAAGCCUGACGGAGCAACGCCGCGUGAGUGAUGAAGGUCUUCGGAUCGUAAAACUCUGUUAUUAGGGAAGAACAAAUGUGUAAGUAACUAUGCACGUCUUGACGGUACCUAAUCAGAAAGCCACGGCUAACUACGUG
rnacentral:rRNA from 1 species